CAAAAACAUGUCUUUUAGAUUUUAAUUUAAAGUCUGACCUGCCCACUGAUUUUAUAUUUAAGGGCCGCAGUAUUUUGACUGUGCAAAGGUAGCAUAAUCAUUUGUCUUUUAAUUGAAGGCUGGAAUGAAUGGUUGAAUGAAGUAUUAACUGUCUCAUUUUUAUAAAUUAAGAAUUUAGCUUUUAAAUAAAAAGGUUUAAAUAUAAUUAAAAGACGAGAAGACCCUAUAGAUUUUUAUAAUAUUUUAUUUAGUUUUAGUAAGAAAUAAAUUUUAUUAUUAAUUAAAUUAUUAUUUGAUUGGGGUGAUUAAAAAAUUAAAAAAACUUUUUUUUAUAUAAACAUAAAUUAAUGAAUAUUUGAUCCAAUUUUAUUGAUUAAAAGAUUAAAUUACCUUAGGGAUAACAGCGUAAUUUUUUUAGAGAGUUCAUAUCGAUAAAAAAGAUUGCGACCUCGAUGUUGAAUUAAAGGUUAUUUUUAAAUGCAGUAGUUUAAAGUUUAAGUCUGUUCGACUUUUGAAUCUUUACAUGAUCUGAG
rnacentral:rRNA from 1 species